CUAUUAUUGGUGUGCUAAAAAACCUGACCGAAAAAUGUACCGUUUCUACUACGGGGUCUCAUGAAUAUUCAGGAAGUCAAAACGUGGUCACGUCGCACUUUUCCGGAACCUGGUGAGCUGAAGUUAGCGGACUGCCAUAGCAGCUUAUAUUUACUAUGGAAGAAGAGUAUUCACAACCAUUAUUCAUAACAGAUUCUGAGGAGAGUGAAAAAGAAAUUGGAGAAAGUGAAUCUCAAGCACAGACGCAAGCUCCAAGAUUCAUGCCACUUUUCACUCCACGCUUUAGUUCUGAGAAUACAGCAUUGAUAUUUUUUAUCACUGUAUGCAAUUUUUUACUCAUUGUUGUACAUCUUUUUUUUUAAAAUUUUAUAACCAGAGAUAUUUGUUAUUUAUAGAGAAGGGGUGAUUCUUUCUUUAAUAAUGUCAUAACAUUCGAUUACUUAUACAUGUAACUUUUUGUAUUUGCAUAUGACUUUGAUGACGUCCAGUCAUGCCAAAAAAGAAAUUAUUUUGUCAUGUGUAAUCCCUGUGAUUAUAUCAUAUAUUGUUAAUUUUUUUAAGUUUUAUAUUUUUGGUUUUGUAGUUGGUAGUUUUCAUAUGAUUGAUGUUGAUCAUGAUACACAGUUUUGUUUUCUGUUAUUUUUAGAUUUAGGUCAUAAGUUUUCACCCAGAAAAAUUCUGUUAUUUAUUUAUUUUUGUUGAUUUUAAGUUUUAUUGAUUUUGUUAAUUGAAAUAAAGAUAUUUUUAUUGAUCAUAAUACUUGUGAUUUUCCAUUCCUGAAACAACUAUUUUUGUCUGUGUGUUUUGCAUGUGUAUGUAUCCAGGAAAAGACUGUGAAUAUUUUAAUAGCCUCUAGACCUACAGGGGGGUUGGAUGGCUGAAUGGUUAGCGUGCGCGUGCUGUAUCAGAAAGUCUGUCAUUGAGUCGACUGGCGUGGUUUCGAAUCCCCGGUUGUACGUGACAAGGAGUAGGGUCGCCUGUCCAACCUCGUGGGUUUUCUCUGGGUCCUCCGGUUUCCUCCCACUGCUAAA